rnacentral:tRNA from 1 species
CGGGGCAUAGCGCAGGGGUAGCGCGCUUGGUUCGGGACCAAGAGGCCGCUGGUUCAAAUCCAGCUGCCCCGACCA